rnacentral:rRNA from 1 species
AUUGAACGCUGGCGGCAGGCCUAACACAUGCAAGUCGAACGGAGUGGCGGACGGGUGAGUAAUGUCUGGGAAACUGCCUGAUAGUGGGGGAUAACUUCCGGAAACGGGCGCUAAUACCGCAUACUAUCAGAUGAGCCUAGUUGGGAUUAGCUAGUUGGUGGGGUAAAGGCUUACCAAGGCGACGAUCCGUAGCUGGUCUGAGAGGAUGAUCAGUCACACUGGAACUGAGACACGGUCCAGACUCCUACGGGAGGCAGCAGUGGGGAAUAUUGGACAAUGGGCGAAAGCCUGAUGCAGCCAUGCCGCGUGUAUGAAGAAGGCCUUCGGGUUGUAAAGUACUUUAAGUUGGGAGGCGUUACCAGCAGAAGAAGCACCGGCUAACUCCGUGCCAGCAGCCGCGGUAAUAC